GAGGCAGCAGUGAGGAAUAUUGGUCAAUGGGCGAGAGCCUGAACCAGCCAAGUCGCGUGAAGGAUGACUGUCUUAUGGAUUGUAAACUUCUUUUAUACGGGAAUAACAAGAGCCACGUGUGGCUCCCUGCAUGUACCGUAUGAAUAAGCAUCGGCUAACUCCGUGCCAGCAGCCGCGGUAAUACGGAGGAUGCGAGCGUUAUCCGGAUUUAUUGGGUUUAAAGGGUGCGUAGGCGGCCUGUUAAGUCAGCGGUGAAAUCUAGGAGCUUAACUCCUAAAUUGCCAUUGAUACUGGCGGGCUUGAGUGUAGAUGAGGUAGGCGGAAUGCGUGGUGUAGCGGUGGAAUGCAUAGAUAUCACGCAGAACUCCGAUUGCGAAGGCAGCUUACUAAGGUACAACUGACGCUGAAGCACGAAAGCGUGGGUAUCAAACAGGAUUAGAUACCCUGGUAGUCCACGCAGUAAACGAUGAUAACUGGGCGUAUGCGAUAUACAGUAUGCUCCUAAGCGAAAGCGUUAAGUUAUCCACCUGGGGA
rnacentral:rRNA from 1 species